rnacentral:rRNA from 1 species
GACGAACGCUGGCGGCGUGCUCAACACAUGCAAGUCGAACGGUGAACGAGGGAGCUUGCUCCCUCCGGAUCAGUGGCGAACGGGUGAGUAACACGUGAGCAAUCUGCCCCGAACUCUGGGAUAAGCGUUGGAAACGACGUCUAAUACCGGAUACGACGCGGGAGGGCAUCCUCUCCGCGUGGAAAGAACUUCGGUUCGGGAUGAGCUCGCGGCCUAUCAGCUUGUUGGUGAGGUAACGGCUCACCAAGGCGACGACGGGUAGCCGGCCUGAGAGGGUGACCGGCCACACUGGGACUGAGACACGGCCCAGACUCCUACGGGAGGCAGCAGUGGGGAAUAUUGCACAAUGGGCGCAAGCCUGAUGCAGCAACGCCGCGUGAGGGACGACGGCCUUCGGGUUGUAAACCUCUUUUAGCAGGGAAGAAGCGAAAGUGACGGUACCUGCAGAAAAAGCACCGGCUAACUACGUG